UGUCUCUCUACUACAACCCCAGAGGUCAUAUUCUAGUCUGGUCUGUCUCUCUACUACAGCCCCAGAGGUCAUAUUCUAGUCUGGUCUGUCUCUGUACUACAACCCCAGAGGUCAUAUUCUAGUCUGGUCUGUCUCUCUACUACAACCCCAGAGGUCAUAUUCUAGUCUGGUCUGUCUCUCUACUACAACCCCAGAGGUGAUAUUCUAGUCUGGUCUGUCUCUCUACCACAACCCCAGAGGUCAUAUUCUAGUCUGGUCUGUCUCUCUACUACAACCCCAGAGGUCAUAUUCUAGUCUGGUCUGUCUCUCAUCAACAACCCCAGAGGUCAUAUUCUAGUCUGGUCUGUCUCUCUACUACAACCCCAGAGGUCAUAUUCUAGUCUGGUCUGUCUCUCUACUACAACCCCAGAGGUCAUAUUCUAGUCUGGUCUGUCUCUCUACUACAGCCCCAGAGGUCAUAUUCUAGUCUGGUCUGUCUCUCUACUACAACCCCAGAGGUCAUAUUCUAGUCUGGUCUGUCUCUCUACCACAACCCCAGAGGUCAUAUUCUAGUCUGGUCUGUCUCUCAUCAACAACCCCAGAGGUCAUAUUCUAG
rnacentral:lncRNA from 1 species